rnacentral:rRNA from 1 species
CCUACGGGAGGCAGCAGUGGGGAAUAUUGGACAAUGGGCGGAAGCCUGAUCCAGCAAUGCCGCGUGAGUGAUGAAGGCCUUAGGGUUGUAAAGCUCUUUUACCAGGGAUGAUAAUGACAGUACCUGGAGAAUAAGCUCCGGCUAACUCCGUGCCAGCAGCCGCGGUAAUACGGAGGGAGCUAGCGUUGUUCGGAAUUACUGGGCGUAAAGCGUACGUAGGCGGUUAUUCAAGUCAGAGGUGAAAGCCUGGAGCUCAACUCCAGAACUGCCUUUGAAACUAGAUAGCUAGAAUCACGGAGAGGUUAGUGGAAUUCCGAGUGUAGAGGUGAAAUUCGUAGAUAUUCGGAAGAACACCAGUGGCGAAGGCGACUAACUGGACGUGUAUUGACGCUGAGGUACGAAAGCGUGGGGAGCAAACAGGAUUAGAUACCCUGGUAGUCCACGCCGUAAACGAUGAUAACUAGCUGUUCGGUCUCUACGAGACUGAGUGGCGCAGCUACGACAUUAAGUUAUCCGUCCGUCGGGUAGGUACGGUCGCGAAGAAUUAAAACUAACGAAAGAAAGUUAGACGGACGUGAGACGUAGCCGAACGGACGACGACGAGGGAGGUAGG